rnacentral:rRNA from 1 species
CGAACGCUGGCGGCGUGCUUAACACAUGCAAGUCGAACGGAAAGGCCCUGCUUUUGUGGGGUGCUCGAGUGGCGAACGGGUGAGUAACACGUGAGUAACCUGCCCUUGACUUUGGGAUAACUUCAGGAAACUGGGGCUAAUACCGGAUAGGAGCUCCUGCUGCAUGGUGGGGGUUGGAAAGUUUCGGCGGUUGGGGAUGGACUCGCGGCUUAUCAGCUUGUUGGUGGGGUAGUGGCUUACCAAGGCUUUGACGGGUAGCCGGCCUGAGAGGGUGACCGGCCACAUUGGGACUGAGAUACGGCCCAGACUCCUACGGGAGGCAGCAGUGGGGAAUAUUGCACAAUGGGCGGAAGCCUGAUGCAGCAACGCCGCGUGCGGGAUGACGGCCUUCGGGUUGUAAACCGCUUUCGCCUGUGACGAAGCGUGAGUGACGGUAAUGGGUAAAGAAGCACCGGCUAACUACGUGCCAGCAGCCGCGGUGAUACGUAGGGUGCGAGCGUUGUCCGGAUUUAUUGGGCGUAAAGGGCUCGUAGGUGGUUGAUCGCGUCGGAAGUGUAAUCUUGGGGCUUAACCCUGAGCGUGCUUUCGAUACGGGUUGACUUGAGGAAGGUAGGGGAGAAUGGAAUUCCUGGUGGAGCGGUGGAAUGCGCAGGUAUCAGGAGGAACACCAGUGGCGAAGGCGGUUCUCUGGGCCUUUCCUGACGCUGAGGAGCGAAAGCGUGGGGAGCGAACAGGCUUAGAUACCCUGGUAGUCCACGCUGUAAACGGUGGGUACUAGGUGUGGGGUCCAUUCCACGGGUUCCGUGCCGUAGCUAACGCUUUAAGUACCCCGCCUGGGGAGUACGGCCGCAAGGCUAAAACUCAAAGGAAUUGACGGGGCCCCGCACAAGCGGCGGAGCAUGCGGAUUAAUUCGAUGCAACGCGUAGAACCUUACCUGGGUUUGACAUGGAUCGGGAGUGCUCAGAGAUGGGUGUGCCUCUUUUGGGGUCGGUUCACAGGUGGUGCAUGCCUGUCGUCAGCUCGUGUCGUGAGAUGUUGGGUUAAGUCCCGCAACGAGCGCAACCCUUGUUCACUGUUGCCAGCACGUUAUGGUGGGGACUCAGUGGAGACCGCCGGGGUCAACUCGGAGGAAGGUGGGGAUGACGUCAAGUCCUCAUGCCCCUUAUGUCCAGGGCUUCACGCAUGCUACAAUGGCUGGUACAGAGAGUGGCGAGCCUGUGAGGGUGAGCGAAUCUCGGAAAGCCGGUCUCAGUUCGGAUUGGGGUCUGCAACUCGACCUCAUGAAGUCGGAGUCGCUAGUAAUCGCAGAUCAGCAACGCUGCGGUGAAUACGUUCCCGGGGCUUGUACACACCGCCCGUCAAGUCAUGAAAGUUGGUAACACCCGAAGCCGGUGGCCUAACCGUUGUGGGGGAGCCGUCGAAGGUGGGACUGGUGAUUAGGA